UAAGGAAUAUUGCUCAAUGGGAGAAAUCCUGAAGCAGCAACGCCGCGUGGAGGAUGAAGGGUCUAUGACUUGUAAACUCCUGUAAAGAAGGAAAAAAUUCCCAUUUGAUGGGAGAUGAUGGUACUUCUGGAGUAAGCCCCGGCUAACUACGUGCCAGCAGCCGCGGUAAUACGUAGGGGGCAAGCGUUGUCCGGAUUUACUGGGUGUAAAGGGUGCUCAGGCGGAUUUGUAAGUCAGAGGUGAAAUCUUACAGCUUAACUGUGAAACUGCCUUUGAUACUGCAAGCCUAGAGUAUGGAAGAGAGUGAUGCAAUAUCUGGUGUAGCAGUGAAAUGCGUAGAUAUCAGAUAGAACACCAAUGGCGAAGGCAGUCACUUGGUCCAUUACUGACGCUAAAGCACGAAAGCGUGGGUAGCAAACAG
rnacentral:rRNA from 1 species